UACGUAGGGACCGAGCGUUGUCCGGAAUCAUUGGGCGUAAAGAGCGUGUAGGCGGCCUGUUAAGUCUUGCGUGAAAUCUCGGGGCUCAACCCCGAGCGGUCGUGAGAAACUGGCAGGCUAGAGUGCGGGAGAGGAGAGUGGAAUUCCUGGUGUAGCGGUGAAAUGCGUAGAUAUCUGGAGGAACACCGGUGGCGAAGGCGGCAUCCUGGACCGGUAUUGACGCUGAGGCGCGAAAGCUAGGGGAGCAAACAGG
rnacentral:rRNA from 1 species